GCCCGAGUGUUGGAAUUGGCAUACAAAGUUGACUUAAAAUCAACUGCCCAUGUGGAUUGCGGGUUCAAAUCCCGCCUCGGGCACCA
rnacentral:tRNA from 1 species